rnacentral:rRNA from 1 species
GACGAACGCUGGCGGCGUGCUUAACACAUGCAAGUCGAACGGAAAGGCCCUGCUUUUGUGGGGUGCUCGAGUGGCGAACGGGUGAGUAACACGUGAGUAACCUGCCCUUGACUUUGGGAUAACUUCAGGAAACUGGGGCUAAUACCGGAUAGGAGCUCCUGCUGCAUGGUGGGGGUUGGAAAGUUUCGGCGGUUGGGGAUGGACUCGCGGCUUAUCAGCUUGUUGGUGGGGUAGUGGCUUACCAAGGCUUUGACGGGUAGCCGGCCUGAGAGGGUGACCGGCCACAUUGGGACUGAGAUACGGCCCAGACUCGUACGGGAGGCAGCAGUGGGGAAUAUUGCACAAUGGGCGGAAGCCUGAUGCAGCAACGCCGCGUGCGGGAUGACGGCCUUCGGGUUGUAAACCGCUUUCGCCUGUGACGAAGCGUGAGUGACGGUAAUGGGUAAAGAAGCACCGGCUAACUACGUG